rnacentral:snRNA from 1 species
GUGCUCACUUUGGCAGUACAUACACUAAAAUUGGAAUGAUACAGACAAGAUUAGCAUGGCUCCUGCACAAAGAUGACAUGCAAAUUCGUGAAUUGUUCCAUAUUUUU